GUGGAGGCAGAGACAGCAAGGAAGAGGGAGAGGAAGAGAGAGAGAGAGACAGAGAAGAGGGGUGGAGGCAGAGACAGCAAGGAAGAGGGAGAGGAAGAGAGAGAGACAGAGAAGAGGGGUGGAGGCAGAGACAGCAAGGAAGAGGGAGAGGAAGAGAGAGAGAGAGACAGAGAAGAGGGGUGGAGGCAGAGACAGCAAGGAAGAGGGAGAGGAAGAGAAGAGGUUUGGAGGCAGAGACAGCAAGGAAGAGGGAGAGGAAGAGAAGAGGGGUGGAGGCAGAGACAGCAAGGAAGAGGGAGAGGAAGAAAGAGAGACAGAGAAGAGGGAAAGCAAGGAAUCAAAUCAAUAUUUUAUUGGUCACAUAUACAUGGUUAGCAGAUGUUAAUGGUCACAUACACAUGGUUAGCAGAUGUUAAUGGUCACAU
ensembl:lncRNA